rnacentral:rRNA from 1 species
CUAUACAUGCAAGUCGAGCGAAUGGAUUGAGAGCUUGCUCUCAUGAAGUUAGCGGCGGACGGGUGAGUAACACGUGGGUAACCUGCCCAUAAGACUGGGAUAACUCCGGGAAACCGGGGCUAAUACCGGAUAACAUUUUGAACUGCAUGGUUCGAUAUUGAAAGGCGGUUUCGGCUGUCACUUAUGGAUGGACCCGCGUCGCAUUAGCUAGUUGGUGAGGUAACGGCUCACCAAGGCAACGAUGCGUAGCCGACCUGAGAGGGUGAUCGGCCACACUGGGACUGAGACACGGCCCAGACUCCUACGGGAGGCAGCAGUAGGGAAUCUUCCGCAAUGGACGAAAGCCUGACGGAGCAACGCCGCGUGAGUGAUGAAGGCUUUCGGGUCGUAAAACUCUGUUGUUAGGGAAGAACAAGUGCUAGUUGAAUUGGCUGGCUCCUUGACGGUCCCUAACCAAAAGGCCCCGGCUAAUUACUUGCCACCACCCGCGGUAAUACUUAGGUGGCAGGCGUUAUCCGGAAUUAUGGGGCGUAAAGCGCGCGCAGGUGGUUUCUUAAGUCUGAUGUGAAAGCCCACGGCUCACCCGUGGAGGGUCAUUGGAAACUGGAAGACUUGAGUGCAGAAAAGGAAAGUGGAAUUCCAUGUGUAGCGGUGAAAUGCGUAAAGAUAUGGAGGAACACCAGUGGCGAAGGCGACUCUUCUGGUCUGUAACUGACACUGAUGGCGCGAAAGCGUGGGGAUGCAAACAGGAUUAGAUAC